GACGAACGCUGGCGGCGUGCUUAACACAUGCAAGUCGAACGAGUUGCGAACGGGUGAGUAAUACGUGGGUAACCUGCCCUCCUUUUUGGGAUAAGCCUUGGAAACGGGGUCUAAUACCGAAUAAAGGGGGAUGGGGUCGCGGCCUAUCAGCUUGUUGGUGGGGUGAUGGCUACCAAGGCGUGACGGGUAGCCGGCCUGAGAGGGUGUACGGCCACAUGAGGACUGGGAUACGGCCCAGACUCCUACGGGAGGAAGCGGUGGGGAAUAUUGCACACUGGGCGGAAGCCUGAGGCAGCGACGCCGCGUGGGGAAUGAAGGCCUUCGGGUUGUAAACUCCUUUCGACAGGGACGCGGUACCUGUAUAAGAAGCACCGGCUAACUACGUGCCAGCAGCCGCGGUAAUUC
rnacentral:rRNA from 1 species